GGAGGCGCAUAGCUCAGUGGUAGAGCAUCUGCUUUGAAUGUAGAAGGUCCCAGGUUCAAUCCCUGGUAUCUCCA